GUGCCAGCAGCCGCGGUAAUACGUAGGUGGGAAGCGUUGUCCGGAUUUAUUGGGCGUAAAGCGAGGGCAGGCGGUUUCUUAAGUCUGAUGUGAAAGCCUUCGACUCAACCGAAGAAGUGCAUCGGAAACUGGGAAACUUGAGUGCAGAAGAGGACAGUGGAACUCCAUGUGUAGCGGUGAAAUGCGUAGAUAUAUGGAAGAACACCAGUGGCGAAGGCGGCUGUCUGGUCUGUAACUGACGCUGAGGCUCGAAAGCAUGGGUAGCAAACAGGAUUAGAUACCCUGGUAGUCCAUGCCGUAAACGAUGAGUGCUAGGUGUUGGAGGGUUUCCGCCCUUCAGUGCCGCAGCUAACGCAUUAAGCACUCCGCCUGGGGAGUACGACCGCAAGGUUGAAACUCAAAGGAAUGGACGGGGGCCCGCACAAGCGGUGGAGCAUGUGGUUUAAUUCGAAGCAACGCGAAGAACCUUACCAGGUCUUGACAUCCUUUGACCACUCUAGAGAUAGAGCUUUCCCUUCGGGGACAAAGUGACAGGUGGUGCAUGGUUGUCGUCAGCUCGUGUCGUGAGAUGUUGGGUUAAGUCCCGCAACGAGCGCAACCCUUAUUACUAGUUGCCAGCAUUAAGUUGGGCACUCUAGUGAGACUGCCGGUGACAAACCGGAGGAAGGUGGGGACGACGUCAAAUCAUCAUGCCCCUUAUGACCUGGGCUACACACGUGCUACAAUGGAUGGUACAACGAGUUGCGAGACCGCGAGGUUUAGCUAAUCUCUUAAAACCAUUCUCAGUUCGGAUUGUAGGCUGCAACUCGCCUACAUGAAGCCGGAAUCGCUAGUAAUCGCGGAUCAGCAUGCCGCGGUGAAUACGUUCCCGGGCCUUGUACACACCGCCCGU
rnacentral:rRNA from 1 species